rnacentral:rRNA from 1 species
AUUGAACGCUGGAGGCAGGCGUAACACAUGUCAGUCGCAAGAGUGGAGGACGAGUGAGCAAUAUCUGGGAUACUGCCUGAUGGAGGGGGAUCACUCCUUGAAACGGUAGCGAAUACCGCAUACCCUCAGAUAUGCGCAAAUGGGAUUAGCUUGUUGGUGGGGUAAUGGCUCCCCAAGGCGCCGAUCCCUAGCUGGUCUGAGAGGAUGACCAGCAACACUGGAACUGAGACACGGUCCAGACUCCUACGUGAGGCAGCAGUGGCGAAUAUUGCACAAUGGGCGCAAGCCUGAUGCAGCCAUGCCGCGUGUAUGAAGAAGGCCUUCGGGUUGUAAAGUACUUUCAGCGGGGAGGCGUUACCCGCAGAAGAAGCACCGGCUAACUCCGUGCCAGCAGCCGCGGUAAUUC